rnacentral:rRNA from 1 species
UACAGAGGGUGCUAGCGUUGUUCGGAAUCAUUGGGCGUAAAGGGCGUGCAGGCGGUUUGUUAAGUCAUGUGUGAAAUCCCUCGGCUCAACCGGGGAAGGACGCAUGAAACUGGCAAGCUAGAGUACCAAAGAGGGGGGUGGAAUUCCCGGUGUAGCGGUGAAAUGCGUGGAUAUCGGGAGGAACACCUGUGGCGAAGGCGGCCCCCUGGUUGGAUACUGACGCUGAUACGCGAAAGCGUGGGGAGCAAACAGG